rnacentral:lncRNA from 1 species
CUCUAGAUUGUAUAAUCUAGCAAACAAUGAUAUGGAGGAGUUUUAUUUCAAUAUUUAAGUAUCAUCCAUAAAUUUUAUGAAAUUGACCAUGAUCCUUUAUCCCAAGAACAGUUUCUAUUCUUACACUUCUAUCUCUUUUACUGUCCCGUAGAUCACCUAUGGUUGGAAGUUUUAAAAUUUAUCCUAGUAUUUCAUCAUCAAAAUAAUUUUUUUUUCUUUCACUGAAGAUGAUACGGUAUC